CUGCUGUGUACCCACAUGCAUUUCUUCGAAGAGGAAAAAGUAAUAUCGCGGACAAACUUUUCAUCGUUUCCCGAAAGAUGCCGUUCUUCAGCGUGAAUGGGUGGAAAAACAUACGGGGGAAUCCUGGUCGUCACUCAAGAUCACUACAGAGACUAAGGUGUGCUCUGAGCACUUCUUAAAAGUGCUUUGUGAAGACCAUGGGAGGAAUCACAACACUCAAAAUGGAUGCUGUGCCUACCUUGUUUGCGUGGAGCUCAACGAGACCAGAGAGGAGAACCAUCGUUCGGAGAUCAAGUACUGCUGCAAUGGAAGUUGAUGAGAACCAGCAUGAUUUGGACAUGGAUUCAAUAUUUUCUUUGCUCCACAAUUCAAGUGAAGAGACCCCAGCACCACAUCCUGAUCAUGCUGUUUAACCCCUUACACUACAGGAACAACUUGAGGCCGCUCGCAAGGUUAUCAACGAGUCAAUUGUGAUUUUUGUAUUGCAAUGUAUUCAUUGUUAUUGUUCAUUUUUACAAAUCUAUA